GCAAGACCUCAAGUAGGCUUACCAGGCAAUGGUGGGCAUUAGUAGUGAAACUGAUACUAGGAAGCACUUGGCAAAGUAGCAAGAGCAGCACCAGCUUUGAUUCCCCAAAAAUGACUCAAGAACCUGAUAGAGCCCCAUUAUUCCUUAUUUCCCUGUCUCUUAUACAUAGGUCAGCAGCCACUUUCUUAGCCAUGUCUGAUCAACGUGGUAGAAAAGGAACAAAACGACGCUGCAACUCUUUAAUCAUUUUUUUAAUAAAACAGAAAAAAAGCCUUCCUUUCAUUUGAUCUCCCACAUCCCAUAUAUUACCAAUUCUGGAACAAGCUCCACCAAGGAUCUAUAAACUAACAUCUCAACAUACCGUGCUACGCUGUGGCCAUUUUCUAAGUUAACUUUGACAGGAACUAACACAAUCUUCAAAAACAUCGUAAACUUUGCUUUGGAGCUGACACUCUAUUGCUGCUUUGUGCAUUACAGAAGUCGUAUCCGGAGCUGAGGAAAGCCUAUCUAGCGCUGGUCAGAUAUAUGCCUUUUUGUCAUCACCUCGAGACGCUAUCUUUCAAUUAGAUUUAAAAAGAAGAAGACGGAGCCAGGUGGGGGUGGGCAAGAGAAGCAGCUAUAAGGAAGUGCCUUCUGGAAAUGUUCUUUGGUACUCCAUAUGUAGGUUAGAUCUGCUGCUGUUAAUGCUAACUAUGGUGGCUAAGCAAACUGGCAGCUGAGCAGUAGUGUGAGUGUUUUGCUUUGCCAUUUAGGAAGCCAGCAUUCAUUCAUCAUCAUGGCUUCUCUCCCAGGUCAAGUGGGGUUGAAGCUACAAAGGAAACAAGUUCAUUCAGCCCCAGUGGGACAGUGUGUUUCACGUUACUCAAGAGUGUCCUCGAAUUUUCAACAAAUAUAAUGUGCUUUAUUAUCACUCACUCCAGGGGAGGGCAAGGAAUGGUUGAUCAGCCACACUAGAAAGUUUUUAGUUAUUACUUUUAAGAAACAAUAACUCCCCCCCCCCCGUUUCUCUAAAAUUGCUUCUCUAAAAAUGCAAAUUAUGCAUGAGAGGAAGGUAUGGCUAUGUAUAGCCCUGGUCUCAGUUUGCAGGGAGGGAGCAGUGAAAGCAAAACCAUCACCUUAUACUAAUUUGAAGUCUUCAUAUGUGUGGAAAUACAUGUAUGACAUUGAACUGCUCCAUAGUUAAGGGCUAGGAUGACCAGAUGCAAAAGAAAAUGGGGUGCAUGUAUGUUUAAAAGUUGUAGAGUAGAGGGAAACACAGUAGAUAAGAUUGUCAGGCCAGGCAAGGAAAAAACCUUCCUGAUAAAAUUCCCUUUAUUCCAUUAUUAACAGUGCAAGAGCCCUGUCCUUCUUUGCAUUUCAUCAGUGGUCAGGAGAGUAUCAAUAUUUGGAAAUCAUGCUAGAAUACUUUUUUGGAAGGUCUUCUUUGUUGGGAGGCAAGUCCUCCCAUUAUGCAGUGUGAAGUCCAUGAAAGGAUCAGCCCUAUGACUGGGAUCCUCACCUGACCCACUUCAAGGCAGAAGCAGAUUUCACAGCCUUGAGAGUAUUUCCUCUGAGUUACACCAGUGAAGAUUUUCUUCAGCUUC